CCUACGGGUGGCAGCAGUGAGGAAUAUUGGUCAAUGGGCGUAAGCCUGAACCAGCCAAGCCGCGUGAGGGAUGAAGGUACAACGUAUCGUAAACCUCUUUUAUCAGGGAACAAAGUCCGGGACUAGUCCCCGGAUGAAUGUACCUGAUGAAAAAGCAUCGGCUAACUCCGUGCCAACAGCCGCGGUAAUACGGAGGAUGCGAGCGUUAUCCGGAUUUAUUGGGUUUAAAGGGUGCGCAGGCGGCCUUUUAAGUCAGCGGUGAAAGGCCGGGGCUCAACCCUGGCAGAGCCGUUGAAACUGGGGGGCUGGAGUGGGAGAGAGGUAGGCGGAAUGCGUGGUGUAGCGGUGAAAUGCUUAGAUAUCGCGCAGAACCCCGAUUGCGAAGGCAGCCUACCGGGUCAAGACUGACGCUGAGGCACGAAAGCGUGGGGAUCGAACAGGAUUAGAUACCCCUGUAGUC
rnacentral:rRNA from 1 species